GAGAAUCUGGUGGCACUAAAAAAUGGAAAGCUGAUGUUAGCCAAGAAGACUCGACAAACUCAGGUGGUUGGAAAGCUUGGGGAAGCAGUAAACCUGAAGUACAUGAGGGUGAGUCUACAAAAGUACAAGAUUCUUGGAACUCUCAGAAAUGGAAAGCUGGAGAGGAUGUUACCCAAAAAGACUCUCAGAAGUCUAGUGCUUGGGGUGCAACAAAACUGAAGUCAAAUGAUAUCCAAGAAGACUCGACAAACUCAGGUGGUUGGAAAGCUUGGGGAAGCAGUAAACCUGAAGUACAUGAGGGUGAGUCUACAAAAGUACAAGAUUCUUGGAACUCUCAGAAAUGGAAAGCUGCAGAGGAUGUUAGCCAAAAAGACUCGCAGAAGUCUAGUGCUUGGGGUGCAACAAAACCGAAGUCAAAUGAUAAUAGGUCCUCGU
rnacentral:lncRNA from 1 species